rnacentral:rRNA from 1 species
UGCCAGCCGCCGCGGUAAUACGGAGGGUGCGAGCGUUGUUCGGAAUUACUGGGCGUAAAGCGCGUGUAGGCGGCUUCUUAAGUCUGGUGUGAAAUCCCGGGGCUCACCCCCGGAAGUGCAUUGGAUACUGGGAAGCUAGAGUACCGGAGAGGAGGGUGGAAUUCCUGGUGUAGCGGUGAAAUGCGUAGAUAUCUGGAGGAACAUCAGUGGCGAAGGCGGCUCCCUGGCCAAAGACUGACGCUCAUGUGCGAAAGUGUGGGUAGCGAACAGGAUUAGAUA